AGUGAACGCUGGCGGCGUGCCUAAUACAUGCAAGUCGAACGGAGUGGCGCACGGGUGAGUAAUAUAUAGCUACUCUGCCCCUUGCUGGCGGACAACAGUUAAAAAUACCUGCUAAUACUCCAUAGCAAGGGAUGAGACUAUAUCGUAUCAGCUGGGCGGUGGGGUAACGGCCUACCGAGGCUAGGACGGGUAACUGGUCGGAGAGGAUGAUCAGCCACAUUGGAACGGAGACACGGUUCAAACUCCUACGGGAAGGAGCAAUAGGGAAUAUUGCGCAAUGGGGGAAACCCUGACGCAGCAACGCCGCGUGGAGGAUGAUACUUUGCGGAGCGUAAACUCCUUUGGUUAGGAAAGCGGUACCUAACGAAUAAGCACCGGCUAACUCCGUGCCAGCAGCCGCGGUAAUUC
rnacentral:rRNA from 1 species